GGAUGUGAUCAUACCAGCACUAAAGCACCGGAUCCCAUCAAAACUCCGAAGUUAGGCGUGCUUGGGCGAGAGUAGUACUAGGAUGGGUGACCUCCUGGGAAGUCCUCGUGUUGCAUUCC
rnacentral:rRNA from 1 species